rnacentral:rRNA from 1 species
CGUGUAGGCGGUCGGGUAAGUGGAAUGUGAAAUGCCCCGGCUCACCCGGGGACCGGCAUCCCAAACUGCCUGGCUUGAGUAUGGGAGAGGAUGGAGGAAUUCCUGGUGUAGCGGUGAAAUGCGUAGAUAUCAGGAGGAACACCGGUGGCGAAGGCGUCCAUCUGGCCCAAUACUGACGCUGAGGCGCGAAAGCUAGGGGAGCAAACGG